rnacentral:rRNA from 1 species
AUGGUGAGGCCAGUUUCCAUUCUGCAUGUUGCCUUAUUUUCUUCUAUAUCAGCAAUUUGCGAGGUAAUUUUAAAUCAUUUUGUAUGCUCAUCGAUGUUGAUCUAUGGCAAGAGUCUGGUUCAUCACAACAUCGGUGUUGUUUGGUUCUUCUUUUCUCCAAGCAUGGUUCUGGCUCGGCAGUGCACCAUAACUAGAGUUUUCACACCUGACAGUCACGCCCACCUAAAAUGGGCAUCCUUUGUCAUUGUUGCAUUCCUCUCACGUAUUCUUAAUCAUGAAGCUUCUCGUAGGAACAAAAAAAUUAAACAAACAAGUAUGAAUGGAUAG